UACGUAGGUGGCAAGCGUUGUUCGGAAUUAUUGGGCGUAAAGGGCGCGUAGGCGGCUUGUUAAGUCGGCUGUGAAAGCCCGGGGCUCAACCCCGGAGGGUCAGCCGAUACUGGCAGGCUAGAGUACGGAAGAGGUAGCUGGAAUUCCCGGUGUAGCGGUGAAAUGCGUAGAUAUCAGGAAGAACACCCGUGGCGAAGGCGGUUCUCUGGGACGGUACUGACGCUGAGACGCGAAAGCGUGGGUAGCAAACAGG
rnacentral:rRNA from 1 species